rnacentral:lncRNA from 1 species
GUUGGUUAAGGACAAGGCUGAAGCAGACAGAUCACUCUGAUGAACGCAUCUAUUUUUCAGAAAAUAUGGUGGUUUGGAACAUGUUGGAAUGGAGACAAGUGGAAAAGACAAAUUUUGGAGGUAGAACUGACAGCACCUGAUGAUGGAAACUCCCAGGAUCCCAGGGCCCUGCCAUCCCAGCCGAUAACACCACAAAUGGAGACAAGGAUAAAUGAUGCAAAGACUGAACACGUGUGCUAUUUGCAGCAAGCCCCAGCAUACCUUUGA